UGCUCCAAGGUCUGCCCUGUGCAUUGAUGAGCCUAUGGCAGGGCAAGUGAGAUGACUGUCAUGAGCUCUGCAAGGACACAGCAGUGAGGACAUGGCAAGGACCCAGCAGCAGGGACAUGGGCACAAGCAUGUGGGUGCCCCAGCUCUCACUCCCUCUAAGCAAAACCCUCUGUGCCCCAAGGUGCAGCAGCUGGCGCGACCACCCAGGAUAUCGGAAGCUCCCCAGGCAAUGUGGUGAGUUCCCCAGCAAGUCCAUCACCCCCAGAUGAGUGAUUCCCUCCU
rnacentral:lncRNA from 1 species